GACCUGGCUGGGCGGUCCGCCUCACGGCGAGUACUGUCUGGCUGGGCCUUACCUCUUGGUGAACCGGCGUGCCCUUUAUUGGUGUGCGUCGGGGAACCAGGACUUUUACCUUGAGAAAAUUAGAGUGUUCAAAGCAGGCCUAUGCCCGAAUACAUUAGCAUGGAAUAAUAGAAUAGGACG
rnacentral:rRNA from 1 species